rnacentral:rRNA from 1 species
GACGAACGCUGGCGGCGUGCUUAACACAUGCAAGUCGAACGGAAAGGCCCCUUUGGGGGUACUCGAGUGGCGAACGGGUGAGUAACACGUGAGUAACCUGCCCUUGACUUCGGGAUAACUUCAGGAAACUGGGGCUAAUACCGGAUAGGAAUCCUUGCUGCAUGGUGGGGGUUGGAAAGCUUCGGCGGUUUUGGAUGGACUCGCGGCUUAUCAGCUUGUUGGUGGGGUAGUGGCUUACCAAGGCUUUGACGGGUAGCCGGCCUGAGAGGGCGACCGGCCACAUUGGGACUGAGAUGCGGCCCAGACUCCUACGGGAGGCAGCAGUGGGGAAUAUUGCACAAUGGGCGGAAGCGUGAUGCAGCAACGCCGCGUGCGGGAUGACGGCCUUCGGGUUGUAAACCGCUUUCAGCAGGGGCGAAGCUUUUGUGACGGUACCUGCAGAAGAAGCACCGGCUAACUACG